UUUGAUGGGUAAUAUGUAAACAAAAAUCAUUAUUAGAUGUAUUUAUCAGAGUUCAUAACUUACUCUGCUUUUUUGUUCAGGUAAUUUCACUGAUCUUGGUUGUCGUCUUCGUCUUCUUCGUUGCGAAAGUAAGUUUGUAAAUUGUUAAAUAGCUGGUCGUGAAGUUUGUAUUUGUUUGCCUGACUCGAUUUAUGUGUCGUUGAGUAUUAGUUGAGGUGAUUGGUUUGAUAUAUUUAUUUUGAAGUUUAUUUCUAAGAUUAGACAAAAAAGAGAGGUGAUUAUUAAUGAUUCAUCUUUUUUGGAAUUAUAGUUUUUGGUGUUUUGAUUGUUUGGGUUGUUGUGGUUUCUUUAAGCUGUAAAAUAAAAGUUUGUGUAAAAUUAGUUUGAUAAGUAAGAGAGAUAAGUAGACGACCACAUAAUUUGGGUAGGAAAUAUUUUUGAUUAUUGAUGUUAGCACAAUAUUAAUAAUAAUAUAAAGAUAAUUGUUUGUUGAUUGUUUCUUACGGAUCAAUGAGGAGACGGAUAACGACUCAAGUUGUUUCUUUGCUAAGGUCAGAGCCUUGGACAUAACGGAUUUUCCCAAC
rnacentral:lncRNA from 1 species